rnacentral:rRNA from 1 species
GUGGGGAAUAUUGCGCAAUGGGGGAAACCCUGACGCAGCAACGCCGCGUGAUUGAAGAAGGCCUUCGGGUUGUAAAGAUCUUUAAUUGGGGACGAAAUAAAUGACGGUACCCAAAGAAUAAGCUCCGGCUAACUACGUGCCAGCAGCCGCGGUAAUACGUAGGGAGCAAGCGUUAUCCGGAUUUACUGGGUGUAAAGGGCGAGUAGGCGGGCCGACAAGUUGGGAGUGAAAUCCGGGGGCUUAACCCCCGAACUGCUUUCAAAACUGUUGGUCUUGAGUGAUGGAGAGGCAGGCGGAAUUCCCAGUGUAGAGGUGAAAUGCGUAGAUAUUGGGAAGAACACCAGUGGCGAAGGCGGCCUGCUGGACAUUAACUGACGCUGAGGCGCGAAAGCGUGGGGAGCAAACAGGAUUAGAAACCCGGGUAGUCC